CCUACGGGUGGCAGCAGUGGGGAAUAUUGCACAAUGGGGGGAAGCCUGAUGCAGCAACGCCGCGUGGGUGAAGAAGUACUCAUGAAUGUAAAGCUCUGUCAGUAGGGGAGAAAAUGACGUUACGUGACCAGGACUCACCGGCUAACUACGUGCCAGCAGCCGCGGUAAGACGUAGGGGGCCGGCGUUAUCCGGAUUUAGUGGGUGUAAAGGGCACGUAUUCGGCAAGACAAGUCUGGAGUGAAUGGCCGGGGCUCACUGCCGGGCCUGCGUUGGAAACUGUGUUGCUGGAGUGCAGAUGGGGCAAGCGGAAUGCGUAGUGUAGCGGUGAAAUGCGUAGAUAUUAGGCGGAACACCGAUGGCGAAGGCAGCUUACUAAUCUGUAACUGACGUUGAGGCACGAAGGCGUGGGGAGCAAACAGGAUUAGAUACCCCGGUAGUC
rnacentral:rRNA from 1 species